CAGAGUGAAUACAACCAAAAACGAUAUGC
rnacentral:piRNA from 1 species